GUGGGGAAUCUUCCGCAAUGGACGAAAGUCUGACGGAGCAACGCCGCGUGAGUGAAGAAGGUUUUCGGAUCGUAAAGCUCUUUCGUUAGGGACGAACGUGCUCUUUGUGAAUAAUGAGGAGUAAUGACGGUACCUAAAUAAGAAGCCACGGCUAACUACGUGCCAGCAGCCGCGGUAAUACGUAGGUGGCAAGCGUUGUCCGGAAUUAUUGGGCGUAAAGCGCGCGCAGGCGGGAUAUCAAGUCUGUCUUAAAAGUGCGAGGCUCAACCUCGUGAGGGGACAGAAACUGGUAGUCUUGAGUGGCGGAGAGGAAAGUGGAAUUCCAAGUGUAGCGGUGAAAUGCGUAGAGAUUUGGAAGAGCACCAGUGGCGAAGGCGACUUUCUGGACGAUGUCUGACACUGAGGCGCGAGAGCUAGGGGAGCGAACGGGAUUAGAAACCCUGGUAGUCC
rnacentral:rRNA from 1 species